AUUGAACGCUGGCGGCAUGCUUUACACAUGCAAGUCGAACGGCAGCGCGGGCUUCGGCCUGGCGGCGAGUGGCGAACGGGUGAGUAAUGCAUCGGAACGUGCCCAGUCGUGGGGGAUAGCCCGGCGAAAGCCGGAUUAAUACCGCAUACGACCUGAGGGUGAAAGCGGGGGACCGCAAGGCCUCGCGCCAUUGGAGCGGCCGAUGUCGGUAUCGAUAGUUGGUGGGGUAAAGGCUUACCAAGGAGACGAUCCGUCACUGGUCUGAGAGGACGACCCGCCACACUGGGACUGAGACACGGCCCAGACUCCGACGGGAGGCAGCAGUGGGGAAUUUUGGACAAUGGGGGCAACCCUGAUCCAGCCAUGCCGCGUGCGGGAAGAAGGCCUUCGGGUUGUAAACCGCUUUUGUUCGGGAAGAAAUCCUCUGGGCUAAUACCCCGGGGGGAUGACGGUACCGGAAGAAUAAGCACCGGCUAACUACGUG
rnacentral:rRNA from 1 species